ensembl:lncRNA
UGUGUGUGUGUGUGUGUGAUGACCUAAGAUGAUUUUGGUGUUAUUUUCUUCUGUAGUAUCUGUGGAAUAAACUGCAGAUCAUUUUGUGGAUGGGUGUGUAAGAGAUCAGACUCAUCUGAUCCACCUUUGCAGCUCCAAUAUGGAUGACGCACAGACAUCCAGUGAUGGAGACUUUUGUCCAGGAAUCAGUUCAGUCCAGCAGAAGAGAACAGGAUCAGCAGAGCCCAGCUGUGUGUCUAUGAGGAGCGAUCAGUCUAUGAAUCCACCACUGUUUUUUAAUGAUGGAAACACAUUACCUGGCUGCAAGUCCAAUAUUUCUGCAAACACAUGUUCAGUCAAGCCUAUGAGAACAGAAUCAGCAGAGCCCAGCUGUGUGUCAAUGAAGAGUGAUCAGUCUAUGAACCCACCACUGUUUUUUAAUGAUGGAAACACAUCAUCUAGCAGCAGUGUUGUCGUAGCACAUCCACACAGGAGAACAGAUACAUAAACUGUUUUCAGCCAUGAAGUCCUCAACACGUUUAAAUCAAAUCUGAAGAAUAAGUUUCAGUGCCUUUAUGAGGGAACAGCGACGCAGGGAAACCCAACACUCCUGAAUGAG